UACGGAGGAUCCAAGCGUUAUCCGGAAUUACUGGGCGUAAAGAGUUGCGUAGGUGGCAUUGUAAGCAGGUAGUGAAAGCGUGGGGCUCAACCCCAUACCCAUUAUCUGAACUGCAAAGCUAGAGGACGAGAGAGGUCGCUGGAAUUACUAGUGUAGGAGUGAAAUCCGUAGAUAUUAGUAGGAACACCGAUGGCGUAGGCAGGCGACUGGCUCGUUUCUGACACUAAGGCACGAAAGCGUGGGUAGCAAACGGG
rnacentral:misc_RNA from 1 species